rnacentral:rRNA from 1 species
GUGCCAGCAGCCGCGGUAAUACAGAGGGUGCGAGCGUUGUCCGGAAUCACUGGGCGUAAAGGGCGCGUAGGUGGCGGGCCAAGUCAGUGGUGAAAGCUCGAUGCUCAACAUCGAGUCGGCCACUGAUACUGGUUUGCUGGAGCACUGUAGAGGCAGAUGGAAUUCCGGGUGUAGCGGUGGAAUGCGUAGAGAUCCGGAAGAACACCGGUGGCGAAGGCGGUCUGCUGGGCAGUUGCUGACACUGAGGCGCGACAGCGUGGGGAGCAAACAGGAUUAGAUACCCGCGUAGUCC